GCAGUGAUGGCUCAGUGGUAGAAUUCUCACCUCCCACGUGGGAGACCUGGGUUCAAUUCUCGGCCAGUGCA
rnacentral:tRNA from 1 species